rnacentral:rRNA from 1 species
AAAAGGUGGCUAUGCUACCGCUUUUGGAUGGGCCCGCGGCGCAUUAGCUAGUUGGUGGGGUAAAGGCUUACCAAGGCAAUGAUGCGUAGCCGAACUGAGAGGUUGAUCGGCCACAUUGGGACUGAGACACGGCCCAAACUCCUACGGGAGGCAGCAGUAGGGAAUCUUCCACAGUGGGCGAAAGCCUGAUGGAGCAACGCCGCGUGGGUGAAGAAGGUCUUCGGAUCGUAAAACCCUGUUGUUAGAGAAGAAAGUGCGUGAGAGUAACUGUUCACGUUUCGACGGUAUCUAACCAGAAAGCCACGGCUAACUACGUGCCAGCAGCCGCGGUAAUACGUAGGUGGCAAGCGUUAUCCGGAUUUAUUGGGCGUAAAGGGAACGCAGGCGGUCUUUUAAGUCUGAUGUGAAAGCCUUCGGCUUAACCGGAGUAGUGCAUUGGAAACUGGGAGACUUGAGUGCAGAAGAGGAGAGUGGAACUCCAUGUGUAGCGGUGAAAUGCGUAGAUAUAUGGAAGAACACCAGUGGCGAAAGCGGCUCUCUGGUCUGUAACUGACGCUGAGGUUCGAAAGCGUGGGUAGCAAACAGGAUUAGAUACCCUGGUAGUCCACGCCGUAAACGAUGAAUGCUAAGUGUUGGAGGGUUUCCGCCCUUCA